AACCUCCCGGGCCACCCGGCCUGCGGCGGAAUGUUGCGUUAAGGGAAAGGUCGUAGUUAAACCCUACAGCCACGCGAUCCUAAGUUUGCCACGAAUUGGCUCUCCCAAACCAAAUUGCGGGAUAAACUCCAUGGAGGGUGUCAGACCCGUGUGGACGCGUGUCAAUGCUGUGUGGGCUCGGCCUUUCCCUGAGAGUCGCGUUGCUUGAGCAUGCAGCGCUAAGCAGGUCGUAAACUCGAUCUAAGGCUAAAUAUUUCCACAGGACCGAUAGCAAACAAGUACCGUGAGGGAAAGUUGAAAAGCACUCUGAAGAGAGAGUCAAAAGACCGUGAAACCGCUCAGGGUAUAAGCCCAUGGUGAUUUGGAAGGCGAAACACAUGAUAAGGAGUGCUAUUUGACUUAGCGCUGUCCGUCUCGUGCACGCACUUGGGAGGUUAAGUGGUGUAGUACAUCGUCAAUACCCCUGCCGAUCGGGAGUUGGGUUGGGAGUUGGUGGCGGCGCGUGUCAAAGCGUGUCGUCUUCGGCUCUCGCUCUUCUCUUGCGAUCGACCGACCAGGAGGUGCAGAUGCGAGACUGUGUUAUCAGCCCACCACAACACGUUGUGAGGUCACCCACAGGCUCGACUGCCGAUUGCGCAUCCAUUCUCGGGCAGGCUGCGGCAGAGUCGUUACCAGGCAAGGUUCGGCGAUGCAGCUCUGCUCGGAGUGGGUCGGGCGGCGACUGAGUUCUGGUAUGAUCCUCCUGCGACGAGUUGUUUUCUGACCAGAACAGCGCGCCACGGUUUCACAUCUCGUGUUUCCGUGUGUACCAAGGGAAAUGCUUAUCCCCUUAAGGCGGUUUGUGCCCUCUGCAUGAGUUUAAUCAGCAAGGCCUCCGUCGCGUGCUGUAACUGCGUGGUGUAAAGUCCAAAGCCAUCGGUCACGUCUCGAAACACGGGCCAAGGAGUAUAGCAUGUGUGCAAGUCUAAGGGUUCCACAAAACCUGCAGGCGAAGUGAAAGCAACUUUGUGGCGGUGAUGUCUAUAUGGCUGACCCGUUAGUGUGAGUCUUAGGACUCGUGCUUAAGCAGAGCUGAUCCAGUCCGAAAGGCUGAUUGCUAAAUGGCUGGCGCAAGCUCCGGGCUCACGUAUAUCGCUGGUCUUCGGGCUGCGAUGUGAGCACCGUGGAGCACUCAUGCUAUGACCCGAAAGAUAGUGAACUAUGCCUGGCGAGGGCGAAGCCCCAGGAAACUGGGGUGGAGGCCCGUAGCCGUUGUGACGUGCAAAUCC
rnacentral:rRNA from 1 species